UUCAAAUGUAAAUAAUAAUUAUUCGUUAAUAUUUUGUUAAUUUUUAUUUAAUUUAUUAAUUAUUUAAUUUUUUUACAUUUUUUACCUUUUAUACAAUAUGUUUAUUAUUCACUAUCGUGUGCACUGUGCUGUUACAAAUUACAAAUUUAAACAGUUCACCUUAAAUUUUCGUCAAAUGUAUCUACAAAGAAUUAAAAUCAUUGCAAAUCCAAGUUAAACUUAAUAUGCCAUUUACAAGUUACAACAAUCACAUUCAAACCUUCAUAACUCAAAUCAUUAAGCAAGAUACAGUAACUGGUGUAUGCAUGUACCCAAGCCAUGUAGGAGAUUAUUCUGUUUGGAAAAACUUCUUCUGAAAAAACUGUUUCCACUAACAGUUCCACAUGGCGGUUUACGAGUAAUGACCAAAAUAGGCAUCUAGCUUCAACUUCUGUGUUCACCCUUGAAAGAACGUCAUUAAGCUAUACCACAUAGAGUUGGAAAUACCGUUUCCGGAUAUAUGCCGGUGUAUUUAUUUAUAUAUAAUAAUAUUAUGUUAUUCUGUAAUCCGUGACCUGUGCCACUGUGGUUAAGGCACAACUAAAUAAAUUGGGUGCCAUGAGUAGAGAUUUAAAUUCUGCCUUAUUAAUAUUAACACCUUAAUAAUAAUUAAUGACAUUAAAACGUUGCACCUACCUAUACUCAAGGACAAGGCCCUAAUAUUAUAUAUUAUAUAUAUAAAAAAUGAAAAAUAGAUUAUAAUAGUGUAAUAACGUAGAAUAAGAUAACAUAUAAAUAAAUAUAUAAAUACGGCUCCUGCCGAUAGUUAUAUUAAAAUAGUAAAAGUUAGAAUUGUAAAAAUUACGCUAUUACCUUCCUCCAGAUGUUCAGAGGGUUCUCGAGAUCGUAUAUUCGAGAAUUAUAUCAAAUACACCGUACAAUAUGAUUUUAUGGAAAAAAGCACAUAGAACGUAUUGACUGCAAUCAACAUAAAAUAUUAUAUCAUAUGUCUUACCUGAUUCGCAGUUGUUCGUAGACAAUAUUGUAAGAGUUUUAGGUUUUAGAUAAAAUAAAGUACUACUUCAGAUACACAAAUUGAAUUAACGAACGCACUGAUUAUUGUUUGCAUAAGAAGUCCAGUUGUCGCUCGUUGAAAUCGGUUUCUUUGGUACUUGAGAGGUUGUUACUUCGGUGGUUGGUGCUCAUGCACUGGUUUAAGGGACGGACGCGAGGAUGCUGACCAGAGAGUGGAGGGUGGCUUUGUCACUAACUUAUUGUGGGCCUGGGAACUAGAUUAUUCUUUGGCGUCAGCAUAAAAUAAGGUCACACACAUCCUACGUAAUAUUGUUAUGAGUGCGUGUCGAAUUAUUAGUUGUCGUUGUCAAUGGUUUUAUUUGAUGCGACCGAUUUCUACAAGCGACAGUCUGGCUGUUGUUUAUUAAUCUGUAAAAUUUUAGUUUAUUAUAAUGGUGUGUGAGCAUAUCAUUACAAUAAAAUAUAUGUAGAUUCUAGAUGUCUCGUUCACAAAAAUCCACGCUAUUUCUGACACUUGAUAUACAAAAAAUUCCUAUAUUAUAAAACUAAAUUACAAAUUACAAAAUCUAAUAAAUAGAUAUUACAAAUAAAAUAUUGAAAAAACAAACAAACAAUUUUGUAUUUUUUGAAGUUAAUAUUUUUACUGUAAUUGAAUUCUUCUUUAGGGGAUUGAAAUUUUUCUUAUUAAAAGAUACAAUAAAAUAGAAUAAGAAACGGUUAAAAUGUAAUUUAAGAAACAAAUUUUCAUUUUCAAUGUACUAAAAUAAAAUUUCCCUGGUUGGUUGAUUGAAUUUAUGUUUAAAUAUUUACCCGACUAAAAGAUUAAAUAUCAUAUCACAUCAGUACAUCACUGUCCAGCCAGUUUCAAACCAUAUUACUCUAUUGAUAAAUACCUGACCUUUGAUUACUAAACAUGGUUUGUUAGUUUAAAAUAAAUAAAAAAUUUAACUAAAUAGAUACUUGGUGUGUAGAUAAUUGGGACUAAUAUUAAUUAUUAUUUCUUUUUACUUAACUCCAUAUAAGAUGUAGAUGAUUUUUAUUUACUGUGUUUUUAAUGUGUCAAUAAACUAAUUUUAUAUUAUUUAAGUCAAAUUUGAUGUAUAAAAACCAAAAAAUAGAAAUGGUGACUUCUUGUAUACUAUUUAUUAUUUAGAUUCUUAUAAUAAAUUAUUUUGUAUUCAUUUAAUUAAUUUUGUAUAAUUAUGAAAAGAACAAACUCGCAUUAGACUAAUGAUUCAAUUAAAUAAACUCGUCAGUGGUGGUCACGAAUAAAUAAAUUAUGAUUCUUAUGAUCAAAUGAUUCACUGUACUGUCUGAACCAGUUCAUUUAUUUGAAAAAAACGAAUCAGUUAAUUAAAGACAACUUGUCACAUCUCUACAGUACUCAACAGUGUAUUCUUCACUUCAUACUUCUUAAGUUAUAUUUGUCUAUUUAAUGUAUAUUUGAAUGUAUUUUUUUUUGUUUCUAUUUAUUGAUAAACUUAGACGAAUAUUAUAUUUAUAUUUUAAAUUUUAGCUAUAUAAUUUUUUUUAGUACAUAUAUAAAAUCUUAGUUUUAUAAUUUACACAUUACUUAUGUUUGUAUCUUAUGUAACUAUGUACCUUAUACAUAAAAUAUAUAUAGAAUUUAGACAAGUAAAUGCAAUUUUUAAGUCUUA